rnacentral:rRNA from 1 species
UACGGAGGAUGCAAGCGUUAUCCGGAAUGAUUGGGCGUAAAGUGUCCGCAGGUGGCUGUGUAAGUCUGCUGUCAAAGAGCAAAGCUCAACUUUGUAAAGGCAGUGGAAACUACACGGCUAGAGUGCGUUCGGGGCAGAGGGAAUUCCUGGUGUAGCGGUGAAAUGCGUAGAGAUCAGGAAGAACACCGGUGGCGAAGGCGCUCUGCUAGGCCGCAACUGACACUGAGGGACGAAAGCUAGGGGAGCGAAUGGG